rnacentral:rRNA from 1 species
GAUGAACGCUGGCGGCGUGCCUAACACAUGCAAGUCGAACGGAGUCCAGCCUUUAAGACCUUCGGGUCAAAGAGGGGAAGACUGAGUGGCGGACGGGUGAGUAACACGUGGGCAACCUGGCUCAUAGAGGGGGAUAACAGAGAGAAAUUUCUGCUAAUACCGCAUAAGCACACCCUGCCGCAUGGAAGGGGGUGAAAAGAGAAUCGCUAUGAGAUGGACCCGCGUCUGAUUAGCCAGUUGGCAGGGUAAGAGCCUACCAAAGCGACGAUCAGUAGCCGAUCUGAGAGGAUGAACGGCCACAUUGGGACUGAGACACGGCCCAAACUCCUACGGGAGGCAGCAGUGGGGGAUAUUGCACAAUGGGGGGAACCCUGAUGCAGCGACGCCGCGUGAGUGAAGAAGUAUUUCGGUAUGUAAAGCUCUAUCAGCAGGGAAGAUAAUGACAGUACCUGAAUAAGAAGCCCCGGCUAACUACGUG